rnacentral:lncRNA from 12 species
CCAGAGCAGGGGCACCUGGAUAGCUUGGUGGUUGAGUGUCUGACUUCAGCUCAAGUCUUGAUCCUGGGGUCCUGGGAUUGAGUCCGCAUCGGGAUCCCCACAGGGAACCUGCUUCUCCCUCUGCCUAUGUCUCUGCCUCUCUCUGUGUGUCUCCCAUGAAUAAAUAAAUAAGAUCUGUAAAGAAAAAAAAAGAUGGUCCAGACCAGGGAUAGUCAGUUAUAUCUGCCACUUAUUAAUGGUAUGGUCAUGAGGAAAUGGCCUAAUCUCUCUAAAUCUCAGCUUUCUGAUUUGUAGAAUGAGGAUAAGUUUGCAAAUUUCUCAAGGGUGUUCAGACUUCCUUGUGAGGAGUCACUGAACUAUCACUGGCACAUUCUAAGAACUCAGUAAGCUACAGUCAAUCAUCAGCAUUAACAUGGUUAUGAAAAGUGUCUCAUGCUGGGGCACCUGGGUGGCUCAGUUGGUUAAGUGUCUGCCUUCAGCUCAGGUCAUGAUCCCAGGGACCUGGAAUCAGGGUCUGUGACAUCGCACAUAGACUCUCUCUCUCUCUCCCCAUCUCAAAUAAAUAAAUAAAAUCUUAAAAAAAAAAAUGUCCUGGCGAACCUGGUUGGCUCCGUGUUUGAGCAUCUGUCUUUGGCUCAGGUCAUGAUCCCAGGGUCCUGGAGUCCUGCAUUGGGCUCCCCAGAGGGAGCCUACUUCUCCCUCUGCCUGUGUCUCUGACUCUCUCUGUCUCUCAUGAAUAUAUAUAAAAAAAAAAGUGUCCCACGUGGAAGGAGUAGGAGAAGGUGACAGUGAGUGAACAAAGGGAUUUUUCCCAUCAGGGCAGGCUUGAGUGGAUAGAAGACCUCCCCCCCAUCACUCUGGGGUUUCAAGCACCUGUGGGAGAGACCCACAUUGUGGACUGGACCUGUGGGGCCCAGGCUGCAUCGGGCUGGGAGAAAGAAUGCUGCAUCUGACAAUGAGUGGGUAGCUGGGGCCCCAAAGCCCCUGGUCUGGGGUGGGGCCCCAGGACCCUUAAAUAUUCAAGGACAGCAUUUUAUCGGUCUGUCUCCCCACAACCCCACAAGGAGGUUCCUCAGAGAUAAGCUCAACCCACCAGUCUCCCUCCCAGAGAGCAGGCACCACCAUCCCAUCAUUAGAAGCUUGAUGCUCUCAUGAUGUCUACUGGAUUCCCACCCAGGUCAGCCUUGUAGACAAUGUCCCUGCUGCGAAAUUAGUCUUCCUGUUUCUCAUGAAAAUGGCCAGCCUACUACUAAUACAGAUGUAAACUAACACCU